rnacentral:tRNA from 2 species
GCGAGCAUCGUAUAAUGGUAUUACCUUAGCUUCCCAAGCUAAUGACACGGGUUCGAUUCCCGUUGUUCGCUCCA